GGCUGUUACGUCAUUUCCUAAACACAUUAUUAACUUCUGGGUGAACGUUGCCAUGGUGGUGGGCACCCGUUCAGCCGAGGAGUGCCAGGAGCAGUACGACGCCCAUGCUCCCACCAAGUCCACGAUGAAAAAUGAAGUGCCCCAAAAGAAGGAGCUAUGCAAGUUACUUUAUCUAGCAUUUUUAUCCAUAAGAAAAAGCCUAAAUGGAUCUACCUUAUGUAGCAUUUUUAUCCAUAAGAUAUGCAUGGACCACAUGGAACCUCCUGGACCACAUGCCCAAGGAUGACCACAAUGACAUCUUUAACAGCUCGCCCAUGCAGAACAACAAGUGGGUCAAGUUGCCCACAGUGUCUCCCAAUGGGAAUGAGGAUGUGUUCAUGAGCUCUGAACAGGAUCUACAAACCCCUAGUUCAUCAGGCUUCCCAUCAGUGAAAACACCUCAGUGUCUCCAACAUCACCCCGAGCAUGAUGGGCUCAGUGAACCGAGGCGACGUAUGUCUACCAACUUUUAAAAAAUGAUGAAAAAAAGCCAAGCGAAACUGCAUAAGUUGGGGGCUGCUUCAAAGUACAUGCCAACUCCAUCAGCCAAACAUGUUUUGAAGAGAUGCAAUAUCGCUGAGAAUAAUUCUACUUUUGUGGUGUGGGAAAUGUUCCCUGACAAGGAUGACCAUGCGGUGGAAAGUGGGAAAGAAGGGGACUAUUAUUUCAUGGAUUACGACUGAGCUACAGAUUCACCAUUGGUGUAGACAUCAGAGGCAAACGGGCUGAAACGGGGAGGCACCUACCUGAAUAUGUACAAUAGAAAACGCUCGAAGUCGUUGCAAAACGUUUUGCUAUGGUUUGCACUACACCUUGUUCAGAUUAUUUCUUUUUUUAAAUCAGGAAGUGAAAUACUCCAAGAUUCUCAAUAGAUAAUAUAGACUGUAUAGUUAUGUCAAUUAGGUUAUUUGAUUCAAUCCCCACUGCUGUUGCUUAAAAUGUUUAUAUUGUGCCAAUGAAGGCAAAGUUGUUUAUAUUGUGCAACAAAAGGCAAAUGUUUUUGCAAUAAAUUUUAGGACAAUUUUU